rnacentral:ncRNA from 2 species
CAUGACAAGUGAAUAUUAGUUCAUAUAAAAGCAGAGAUAAGGUCUGCUAGUUUCUACCGGGCUGCCGUAAAUCGUCCGACUAUGAGCGAAAGUGUCCUAGGA